GUUGUUGGGUAGGGGAGCGUUCUGUAAGCCGUUGAAGGUGUGCUGUGAGGCAUGCUGGAGGUAUCAGAAGUGCGAAUGCUGACAUAAGUAACGAUAAAGCGGGUGAAAAGCCCGCUCGCCGGAAGACCAAGGGUUCCUGUCCAACGUUAAUCGGGGCAGGGUGAGUCGACCCCUAAGGCGAGGCCGAAAGGCGUAGUCGAUGGGAAACAGGUUAAUAUUCCUGUACUUGGUGUUACUGCGAAGGGGGGACGGAGAAGGCUAUGUCAGCCGGGCGACGGUUGUCCCGGUUUAAGCAUGUAGGCGGAGGUUCCAGGUAAAUCCGGUACCUUAUUAACGCUGAGGUGUGAUGACGAGGCACUACGGUGCUGAAGUGAUAAAUGCCCUGCUUCCAGGAAAAGCCUCUAAGCAUCAGGUAACACGAAAUCGUACCCCAAACCGACACAGGUGGUCAGGUAGAGAAUACCAAGGCGCUUGAGAGAACUCGGGUGAAGGAACUAGGCAAAAUGGUGCCGUAACUUCGGGAGAAGGCACGCUGAUAGGUAGGUGAAGCCCCUGCGGGCGGAGCUGAAAUCAGUCGAAGAUACCAGCUGGCUGCAACUGUUUAUUAAAAACACAGCACUGUGCAAACACGAAAGUGGACGUAUACGGUGUGACGCCUGCCCGGUGCCGGAAGGUUAAUUGAUGGG
rnacentral:rRNA from 1 species